rnacentral:lncRNA from 13 species
AAGAACUCCUGUUUGUUUGUCCUUUAUUUAUACUUUCGGACAGGGUCUUACUCUGUCGCCCAGGCUGGUGCAGUGGCUCCAUCUCCCAGCUCGCCCCAGCCUCCGCCUCUGGAACUCAAGCGAUUCUCCCAACUUAGCCUCCCAAGUAGCUGAGACCACAGGUGUGCUCUACCACACCCAGCUAAUUUUUACAAAUUUAUUUGGUAGAGAUGGGGGUCUCACUAUGUUACCUGGCCUGGUCCCAAACUCCUGAGCUCAAGCAAUCUGCCCACCUCAGCCUCCCAAAGUGCUGGAAUUACAGGGGUGAGCCACGGUGGCCUGGACUCGUGUUUUGAGAUGGGUGUCUUCCACUUGCUUUGCACACAGGGGCUCAGGACUGUGCCUGCCCUGCCGUCCUCCUGGGUUGGGCAUCAAGCUGCCCCUGCAUCCCUGCCCAUCACGGCCCAAGAGCUGGAUGUCACUGGCUCCCGGAGCCUCCAUUUCCUGGUUUAUAAAGGGAGAGGGCAGUGCUGGCCUGAAAACUUGUCUUCCAGUGACAGUGGCAGAUGACACCUCUCCCUGCUUUUCUCAGGGAAUGGUGGCAGCGCGUGGAGUCACGGGGAACACAGGAGAAGGAGGCCCAGAAUGCCCAGAACAGAGGGACCUGCAUGUCCAGACCCUACCAGAAUCACAGGCACAGGCCACCAAAGAGGCUGGACGAAAACCCUGGGAGGUGGCAGUGGCCUGCCUCCACCCCAGGCGGAUCCCAGGGCUGAGCACCGAGCAUCUGUUUCCAACAUGAAGAUGGAUGAACAACAGUGGGAGUGUGUGUAACCCCACAGAACUGCACAUGUAAGGCUGGACUUGGUGGCUCACCCUGUAAUCCCAGCACUUUGGGAGGCUGAUGCAGGAGGAUCGCUUGAAGCCAGGAGUUUCAGACCAGCCUGGGCAACAUAGCAAGACCUUGUCUCCACUAAAGAAAAAAGAAAGCCAGGUCUGAUGGUCCCAGCUACUCAGGAGGCUGAGGCAGGAGGAUUGCAUGAACUUGGGAGGUCAAGGCUGCAGUCAGUUAUGAUUGUGUCGCUGCCCUCCAGUCUGGGCAACAGAGCAAGACCUUGUCUCAAAAAUAAGCAGGUAAAUAGGCUGGGCACAGUGGCUCACCCCUGCAAUCCCAGGAUAUUGGGAGGCCAAGAUGGGUGAAUCACCUGAGGUCAGGAGUUUGAGACCAGCCUGACCAACAUCAGGAUUUCAUCAUGGUGAAGUCCUGUCUCUAUAAAAAUACAAAAGCUAGCCAGGCAGGUGGUGCCUGUAGUCCCAGCUACUCGGGAGGCCGAGGCAAGAGAAUUGCUUGAACCUGGGAGGUGGAUGUUGCAGUGAGCUGAGAUCACACCACUGCACUCCAGGUUGGGUAACAGAGCGAGACUCGUCUGAAAAAAAUAAAAGAGAAAAAGUAGGUAAAUAAAUGAACGGC